UCAAAAACAUGUCUUUUUGAUAAUAUUAAAGUCUAAUCUGCCCACUGAUAAUAUUAUUAAAGGGCUGCAGUAUAUUGACUGUACAAAGGUAGCAUAAUCAUUAGUCUUUUAAUUGAAGACUUGUAUGAAAGAUUUGAUGAAAUAUAUACUGUCUCUAAUUUAUUAAUAAAAUUUAAUUUUUUAGUUAAAAAGCUAAAAUAAUAUUAAAAGACGAGAAGACCCUAUAAAGUUUUAUAAUUUAUUUAUUUAAUAUUAAAUAUAUAAUUAAAUAUAAUAAUUAAUAUAAAUUAUUUUAUUGGGGUGAUAAAAAAAUUUAAUUAACUUUUUUUUUAUAAAAACAUAGAUAAGUGAAAUUAUGAUCCAUUAAUAAUGAUUAAAAGAAAAAAUUACUUUAGGGAUAACAGCGUAAUAUUUUUUUUUAGUACAAAUAAAAAAAAAAGUUUGCGACCUCGAUGUUGGAUUAAGGUAAAAUUUAAAUGCAAAAGUUUAAAAUUUUGAUCUGUUCGAUCAUUAAAAUCUUACAUGAUCUGAGCU
rnacentral:rRNA from 1 species